GACCGAGUAGCUCAGUUGGCAGAGCAUUGGGCUAGUAUUCCAAAGGUCGUAGGUUCGAUUCCCACCGUGGUCA